rnacentral:rRNA from 1 species
GAUGAACGCUGGCGGCGUGCCUAAUACAUGCAAGUCGAGCGAACGGACGAGAAGCUUGCUUCUCUGAUGUUAGCGGCGGACGGGUGAGUAACACGUGGAUAACCUACCUAUAAGACUGGGAUAACUUCGGGAAACCGGAGCUAAUACCGGAUAAUAUUUUGAACCGCAUGGUUCAAAAGUGAAAGACGGUCUUGCUGUCACUUAUAGAUGGAUCCGCGCUGCAUUAGCUAGUUGGUAAGGUAACGGCUUACCAAGGCAACGAUGCAUAGCCGACCUGAGAGGGUGAUCGGCCACACUGGAACUGAGACACGGUCCAGACUCCUACGGGAGGCAGCAGUAGGGAAUCUUCCGCAAUGGGCGAAAGCCUGACGGAGCAACGCCGCGUGAGUGAUGAAGGUCUUCGGAUCGUAAAACUCUGUUAUUAGGGAAGACCAUAUGUGUAAGUAACUGUGCACAUCUUGACGGUACCUAAUCAGAAAGCCACGGCUAACUACGUG